rnacentral:rRNA from 1 species
GACGAACGCUGGCGGCGUGCCUAAUACAUGCAAGUCGAGCGAAUCAAUAGGAGCGCAGCUCUUUUGGUUAGCGGCGGACGGGUGAGUAACACGUGGGCAACCUGCGUGUAAGACUGGGAUAACUUCGGGAAACCGGAGCUAAUACCGGAUAAUCCUUUUCCACUCAUGUGGAAAAGCUGAAAGUCGGUUUCGGCUGACACUUACAGAUGGGCCCGCGGCGCAUUAGCUAGUUGGUGAGGUAACGGCUCACCAAGGCGACGAUGCGUAGCCGACCUGAGAGGAUGAUCGGCCACACUGGGACUGAGACACGGCCCAGACUCCUACGGGAGGCAGCAGUAGGGAAUCUUCCGCAAUGGACGAAAGUCUGACGGAGCAACGCCGCGUGAGCGAUGAAGGCCUUCGGGUCGUAAAGCUCUGUUGUUAGGGAAGAACAAGUUUCGGAGUAACUGCCGGUACCUUGACGGUACCUAACCAGAAAGCCACGGCUAACUACGUGCCAGCAGCCGCAGUAACAC